AGCGGCGCGGCGCCGGCACCACACCUGCGCGCGGUCGCUAUGCGCGCUGCGCGCGCUCUGCGUAAGGUUCUGCGCAUGACGUCGUGCGCUUGCUCGGAGAGGGGUUUCGGAGCAGCGCCGGCACAGCGCAACACCUGUACGCGGUCGGUAUGCGCGCUGCGUGCGCGACGGGGAGCUACGACGACGACAGCGACAAUGGACAUCGUCAGAGCCUAAGGAGCUUCGCUCCUAAAAACUAGGUCAUGACGAGGAGGGCGAAUGAGGAUUUCUUUAGUAAAGGUUAUGCGGAUCCUACGCGUUGUCGGAUUUGACAUAAUGGAAAUGGGCAGCCUAGCGUGCCUACCGGACGACGAAAAGCCUGUCUAAUGGGGACGAAGUAGUGCAGAUGUUUGCAUUUGGCACAUCAACGUGGCACACAAGUGAGGCCUGUUUUGCCAAGUGGUGCAGCAUUCACGCUACCAGCUCCACUACAGUGUCAGCAUGGAAAUGUCGAGCACCAACCUAGUAAGCCUUCAGUGACCACGAUUUCACUCAUCCUCUCCCCAUUGAGACUACGGGGUGAUAAUUGGAUGCGAUCAAACGCCAUCUUCAUCAGAAAAGCCACACUCCUUGCACCAUUGUCUUAUGCUGUCCAACAUGAUGCAAUGCUGUAACUGAUGGGUAAGUUUUGCGCAUUGUCUGCAUGAUUCUUGGCAUUCCAUUGUUACAUGAACACAUCAACACUGGAAUGUCAAGCUAGCUAGUCGAUGACCAUUCAUUUAGCAAGAAAGGAGGAGUCCUUGCAUUGUCUAUGCAUUUAUGUGCGAGGCGCAUUUUUUAAGUGGUAGCUUAUGUGAAACUUUCACACUGGUCA